rnacentral:lncRNA from 1 species
UGUUUUGCGCUCAAUUGCAAUCCGACACAUCAAGUACUCAUUCAGAAUUGCAAACGAGAAGUAUCACUGAUUCAUAAUUCUAGCAACAGUCAAAUUUUAGAAAUUCAGAGAGAUGAAGCUAAAUCAACCAUGGAUAUAUCUUCAAAAAAAAAAAAAAAAUAGAACAGAGCAAGAAUGUCACUCGAAAUGUAUAUAAAUCUCAGUACGACCUCAAACAUUCAAACCAAGUUAAUAUCAAACUAGCUAGCUGAACUCCAAUUCUUAACCCGACGAAUCAGCAUCAAAACUAACUAGAGAAUCGACAUCGAAAUUAAAGAGAGCAUGAGAAGAUGAACUUGAAAUUGAAUCUUUCUUUUGAUAACAAAAUCGAAGGCGAUUACACAGUUUCAACUCAAAAAUUCCCACAAGAACGCAAAGGCAAAUCAAAACUCGAAGAACAGCAAACCAGUAGCAGUCGAGUAGAAAUAAGAGGUUCGAAUAGCGACCAACUCAGCAAUUCUCAAACGAGCUCCAUUUUAAGAGAACACCAGCCCAGAAAGAAGAUACGAAUUUUUUUUUUUUUGAUUGAUUUUUUUUAACCAUAGCCUUUCUACAAAAAAAUUCUCUCAAAAAAAUCCCCCUCAUCUCAAAAUCGGAUCCAGUCCUUUAUGAAACGAACCCUUGAUAAAUGUGGGGCUCGGAUAGAACGAAAUCUAUCCAAUGCCUCACAUACGAGUCGUCUCUAGGACCUUCCAAUCGCGAGGUAAAUCUAAAAAACGAGCCAGUAAGAGGAGAGGGAAAUGGGGCCAUGGUUCGUGGAGAAGAAGAACAGUACACAGUAUCGCGCUUGAGAGAUUUAGGGGUUUUCGUGAUUUUU